GAUGAACGCUAGCUACAGGCUUAACACAUGCAAGUCGCGGGGUAACAUCUGGUAGAGCUUGCUCUUCCAGGAUGACGACCGGCGCACGGGUGAGUAACGCGUAUCCAACCUGGCCCAUACCACGGGAUAGCCCGUCGAAAGGCGGAUUAAUACCGUAUGCUGUCAUUAAGAUGCAUAUAUUGAUGACGAAAGGACUGGCGGUAUGGGAUGGGGAUGCGUCGAUUAGCUUGUUGGCGGGGUAACGGCCCACCAAGGCGACGAUCAGUAGGGGUUCUGAGAGGAAGGUCCCCCACAUUGGAACUGAGACACGGUCCAAACUCCUACGGGAGGCAGCAGUGAGGAAUAUUGGUCAAUGGGCGAGAGCCUGAACCAGCCAAGUAGCGUGCAGGAAGACGGCCCUAUGGGUUGUAAAACUGCUUUUAUAAGGGAAUAAAGUGAGUCUCGUGAGACUUUUUGCAUGUACCUUAUGAAUAAGGACCGGCUAAUUCCGUGCCAGCAGCC
rnacentral:rRNA from 1 species